rnacentral:rRNA from 1 species
CAGUCGAACGAGAGACCUUCGGGUCUCUAGUGGCGAACGGGUGAGUAACACGUAGGGAACCUGCCCGCGCACCGGGAAUACGCUCUGGAAACGGAGAACAAAUCCCGAUGUACAGGAAGGAGGCAUCUUCUUUCUGUGAAACAUCCUUUAGGGGAUGGGGCGCGGAUGGACCUGCGGUGCAUUAGUUGGUUGGCGGGGUAAAGGCCCACCAAGACGAUGAUGCAUAGCCGGCCUGAGAGGGCGGACGGCCACAUUGGGACUGAGACACGGCCCAGACUCCUGCGGGAGGCAGCAGUUGGGAAUUUUCGUCAAUGGGCGCAAGCCUGAACGAGCGAUGCCGCGUGAGUGAAGAAGGCCUUCGGGUCGUAAAGCUCUGUUGCGGGGGAAAAAAGGCAGCAUCAGGAAAUGGGUGCUGACUGAUGGUGCCCCGCCAGAAAGUCACGGCUAACUACGUGCCAGCAGCCGCGGUAAUACGUAGGUGGCGAGCGUUAUCCGGAAUGAUUGGGCGUAAAGGGUGCGCAGGCGGUCCUGCAAGUCUGGAGUGAAACGCAUGAGCUCAACUCAUGCAUGGCUUUGGAAACUGGAGGACUGGAGAGCAGGAGAGGGCGGUGGAACUCCAUGUGUAGCGGUAAAAUGCGUAGAUAUAUGGAAGAACACCAGUGGCGAAGGCGGCCGCCUGGCCUGUUGCUGACGCUGAGGCACGAAAGCGUGGGGAGCAAAUAGGAUUAGAUACCCUAGUAGUCCACGCCGUA